rnacentral:rRNA from 1 species
UACGUAGGUGACCAGCGUUGUCCGGAUUUACUGGGCGUAAAGAGCGCGCAGGCGGUCGUUUAAGUCGAGUGUGAAAGCCCCCGGCUCAACUGGGGAGGGUCACUCGAUACUGAUCGACUUGAAGGCAGGAGAGGGAAGCGGAAUUCCCGGUGUAGUGGUGAAAUGCGUAGAUAUCGGGAGGAACACCAGUGGCGAAAGCGGCUUCCUGGCCUGUUCUUGACGCUGAGGCGCGAAAGCUAGGGGAGCAAACGGG